UACGGAGGGUGCAAGCGUUAUCCGGAUUCAUUGGGUUUAAAGGGUGCGUAGGCGGGGUGGUAAGUCAGUGGUGAAAUCCUGCAGCUUAACUGUAGAAUUGCCAUUGAUACUGCCAUUCUUGAGUGCGCUUGAAGUGGGCGGAAUGUGCCGUGUAGCGGUGAAAUGCUUAGGUAUGGCACAGAACACCAAUUGCGAAGGCAGCUCACUAAGGCGAUACUGACGCUGAGGCACGAAAGCGUGGGGGUCGAACAGG
rnacentral:rRNA from 1 species